UACAGAGGGGGCAAGCGUUGUUCGGAAUUACUGGGCGUAAAGGGCGCGUAGGCGGCCUUCUAAGUCGAACGUGAAAUCCCCGGGCUCAACCCGGGAACUGCGUCCGAUACUGGAAGGCUUGAAUCCGGGAGAGGGAUGCGGAAUUCCAGGUGUAGCGGUGAAAUGCGUAGAUAUCGGGAGGAACACCAGUGGCGAAGGCGACUACCUGGCCUGUUCUUGACGCUGAGGCGCGAAAGCUAGGGGAGCAAACGGG
rnacentral:rRNA from 1 species